rnacentral:rRNA from 1 species
UACGAAGGGGGCUAGCGUUGUUCGGAAUCACUGGGCGUAAAGGGCGCGUAGGCGGCUUUAUAAGUCGGGGGGUGAAAGCCUGUGGCUCAACCACAGAAUUGCCUUCGAUACUGUAGAGCUUGAGACCGGAAGAGGUAAGUGGAACUGCGAGUGUAGAGGUGAAAUUCGUAGAUAUUCGCAAGAACACCAGUGGCGAAGGCGGCUUACUGGUC